rnacentral:lncRNA from 1 species
GAGGGAUUCAAGUUGAACUAGUACUUCAGAGACUGUUUAGUAAUAUCAUGCAUGAAAGGUGAUGGUUAGGACAGAAAAAUAAAUGGAUUGCAUCAUAAUUCCUCAGGUUCUCCAAAUAUGUGGUGGUCUCAAACCAUGUGAAUUGGUCUGCACAUCCUGUUUGGGUUGCGUGUCAGCAGUUGAGAUCUGAGCCUUAUUUGUAACAGUGAAACAGUGAGAGACCUGCCCACUGAAAGCUGUUUUUCAGCUAGGAAUAGAAAAGGGCCAGGCUAGACUCCUCUUUCUGCUGGAUCUUGCUUCUUCUCAGCAAUAGAAGUAGACCUGCCUUCCUAGCUGUAGAGAAAAGGUGCCGGUAGGCGGGCAGGUGAGCCUGUGGAUAAUCCUGGAGUAAAGGUUCAAUAGACCUUCAAGUCUAUCCUACAGGAUUCGGAGUGAGGGGAGAGAAAAGGAGACGCUUCUCUGGCUGAGAGAGGAAGAGAAAAAAAAAUCCCAGAUAUCUGACAGCUAUAUCUUCCCAUCACCACCUUCCUCUAAACCCAUGCCUCUCUGUUUAGUAGGACAUAAAAUGAAGAGUGACCCACCCCCCACCCCCAGCCCAUCCCCCGUUUGUAGGUGUGCUUUCAAUGAAAAUAAGUCGGUGUUCAUGGACGGAAACUAGAGCAGCUGAAAAUAGAUGCAAGACUUGUUGAGCAUACAAAUCAUUUCCCCCUUAGUCUCCAAGGGAGGAAAAAAAAUCCCUCUUACUCUCCUUGCAGCCUGUGUUCUGCAUUCUGGAGAGGAAGCUGAGGCUGGUCCUCAGGCGCUCCUCCCGCCGUUCCCGCAGGAAACUUUUCUCGCAGGGCCCGCUCCGUCCAUCCCGCGCGGUUCCAAGACGGUGGGCCUCCCGUGGGCUCCUCUCCUGGGCAAGGGCCCAGACCCCGCGACGCGCCUGUCUCUUUAAAUUCCAGCUGCGCGGCUGGGAAACAGCGCCACUCGCCGCCCAGGCCGGCUGGAGGCUGAGAGCGAGCUCGCGCUUUCGCUCCCGGCUGCGCGCCGCGGAGAGCUGGGCUCGGCCCGCGGGCUGCUAGGUGGCGGCGGCGCGGGGCGGGGAGGCGCGGCCCGGCGGAGGAGGGAAGAAAGAGCGAGCCGGGCCGGGAGAGGCGCCGCGCCCGGUCCCGCGCCCGGUCCCGCACCCGCUCUCAGCGGCCCAAGCAGUUUCUUUCUGGGUGACAAGAAUGUGCCUCGGUUGGUUUUUCUUUUUUUUCUCCAUCUCCUUAAGACGAUUUCCAUAGUAACCUGAUCAAGUGGCUCAAAAUCGCAAACCUGAGGAUUUCCGCGGCCCGCCGGCAAGACCUCGGCCAGGUUUACAGGAAAUCUGUCAUUUUUUAUUAAAAUGGAAAACUGUGAAGAAAGAAAAAGAUAGCAGUUGAAGUCAAAAUUCUCGGAUGACUAUUUUGCUUUUGAGGAGUCAGCAUUUAAAAACGAUAUGCUGAUUUGGAAGGUCCUGGGAGUAAACUGCAAACUUUAUUUUUUCCAUUCAAUCAAUGGAUUUUUUAAUCAUUCCUUGGAGUCGAUGAAGUUCGGAAACGGUGUGUGAUGGGGAACGUGGCGGGCCAGUGUGUUCCUAGAAAUUGCAUCUUGGAUUAGUUUGCUGCUUUUUUGAAGAGAUUCCAUUUUGAAGGGCAAGAACCUAAUGUGAUGGAUUUAUCUUCAGAAAUGAACAGACAUGGGAAGAAUCCAGUGAGUCACAAGCUAGAAGAUCAGAAGAAGAUCCAGCAAGGAGCCUCCCAGAUGGAGUACAUGGAGACCAUGACUGUGAAAGAUGAGGAUCAAGUGCAGAUUUGGUGGCCUCUGAUUGCCAGUAUCUGGCAGCCACAUUCUCUUCCCACAAGAUGUGCUGGAAAUAUGACCAAGCAGAAGUUCACUUAAGUGAAUCCAACAGUUAAACCUACCAUGGAAGGGUGUGGUGCACAGAGGGCAUGUGGAGAAGAGAAGACCACAGUGGGAACCUCCAAGGAACUAACAUCUAGCUGGGGAUGAGGGGGGAUUUGGCUAUGUAGAGAGUAAAUAAAGUGAUAUGAGAAUUAAAGUAAGGGGCCAGUUAUUUCCAAAUGGGGAAAUGGGGCAGGCUUCAUGGAGAAGGGAACGUUUAAUCUGGGUCACAUGGAAUGAAUAGGACUGGAAAUGGAGUUUAUAAGAGCGAGAAUAUUUUACUUAGAGGAAACUACAUUUAAAGAAAGGAUGGCUGUGUAGGUGUAUUGCUUCUUUGCAGAUACAUACAAUUUAAUAUGCCUGGAGUGCAGAUUCUAUGUGACUGAGGUGAGUAGGGACAAAGGGAGAGAUGAUUCAGAGAGGCAGAUAGAGGAAAAUCAUGCAGGGCUUAAUUUCUAGGAUAAAAGUUGGUGACUUUUUCAUGGGUGUGUGUGUCAGGGAAGAGGGUAAAAUUAUAGUGAGUAAAAGCACAGACUUUGGGAUCAAAGUAAUGGGUUUCCAUCAUGACUCUGCUUCUCCCUGGUGAUAUCAACUUGUGUGAAUAUGUAAUGACUCUGACCUUCAGUUUUUUCAUCAAUAAAUGAUAAGCAAUAAUACUAAUUUAAUAGAGACUUUCUGAGGAACAAAUAAGACUAUGUACCCAAAGGACUUAGAUUAGGACCUGCCACUCAGUAACAACACUCAGUAGAUGUGAUCAUGCUAUAGAGGACAGAAAUUCCUCUAAUCCCAACACAGACACUCUCUUUAGCUGCAAAUAUGAUGUCCCCUCUCCCCUAGAUAAGGCAAACUGAUCCUGCUGGGCCUAGCUGGUUGCCAGAUGGAUUAGAACACUGGACUCAGAACAGACUUCCAUGAUAUCUUUAAGAAAAACUCACAUCAAAGUCAUGUAGAAUGUACAAUAGAAUUAUCAAUGAGGAAGGGAGAAUCUGGAAAGAAGGCAACCAAAAGCCAAAGG